rnacentral:other from 1 species
UAAUUUCUGAGAUAUUCGUUAGCUCUUAUUUUGAACCUACAUUAGAACCUUGGGAGUCUAAUAUUUAGAUGAGGAUAUGUACCUUCUUAUGAGUCCUUUUUACGGCAUUGAGGGCGAUAGAUACAUCUGUGAGGACACCCCCCUAUCGAGAGAUAGGUGUCAAAAUGAGAGUACCGGUAUUUUGGAUUUAAA